rnacentral:rRNA from 1 species
GUGGGGAAUAUUGGGCAAUGGGGGCAACCCUGACCCAGCAACGCCGCGUGAGGGAAGAAGGUUUUCGGAUUGUAAACCUCUGUCCUAUGGGAAGAAGGAAGUGACGGUACCAUAGGAGGAAGCCCCGGCUAACUACGUGCCAGCAGCCGCGGUAAUACGUAGGGGGCGAGCGUUGUCCGGAAUUACUGGGCGUAAAGGGUGCGCAGGUGGCCUGACAAGUCAGAUGUGAAAUACCGAUGCUUAACGUCGGGGCUGCAUUUGAAACUAUGAGGCUGGAGUGCAGGAGAGGGAAGCGGAAUUCCUAGUGUAGCGGUGAAAUGCAUAGAUAUUAGGAGGAACACCAGUGGCGAAGGCGGCUUACUGGACUGUAACUGACGCUGAGGCGCGAAAGUGUGGGGAGCAAACAGGAUUAGAUACCCUUGUAGUCC